AAUCUUCUAUUUGUCUAUCAUAUGUGUAAAUUAUUUAUUAGAAGUAGAUAUACUUUAAAUUCUAAUAAUACAUUAACAGAUAAAUUUUCAGAGUUGUGCUUAAUAUAAAUUUUUUUUCCAGUUUUUCCACUGCCAACCAAAUGUUUAAUUAAAUUGAAACCUUUUCUUUGCAAGUUAGAGAAUUAGUCCCUAGGGAAUACUUAUCACCUUGUUAGUACUAACUGUUCUUAUUUCCAUCUGAUUUUUUAAUCGAGCAAGAAAAAUACACUAAUAUGUGAUUAGCUGUACACAGCAUGGACUUUCUCCUAUGGAGCAUCACCAUGAGAGAGACAGGGUUUCAUCCCUCUUUUAGAGGGAUCAUCACCAGUCCACAGGGGACAUAUGAGGACCUUCUCCACUGGGCCAAGAUGGCAGUGGCCUGAGCUAGUUCACUGUGAGCCACAGAAGAUGGAGCUGAGAGUCGUAUCUGGCUCUAGGGCUGAAGUGUUCCCACCACAGGAAGCAAUCCCGGGCCCAAGCCCUUUGACAGGGGCUUACCUCCUCAACCAUCUGCUUGACUUUCUUCUGCUGGCAAUGCACCAUGUCAUCUAGGUGUCGGAUCCGCUCCCGGAGGCUGGCCGAUGCCUCCUCCAGCCGCUGAUACCUAAUACAAAUAGAAGAAAGAGCAAGUGAAUCCUCAAGCAAAGCAACAAGGGCAGCACCCAGAGUCACCGCUUGAAGGGAAUAUUGCCCAGAACAAGACGCACUCUUCCUACUUUGUGUGUAUCCUAGUUUAUUAACUACCAAUCGACCACCCCACCGUAGAAGGAAGAUAGGACCAUUUGUCAAGUUCCCACUUGCAAGUUUUAUCCUGUAUAAGGACAGUUACUACACUUUCCAGGGGCUGAGAGAGAAUUUUUUUGCACCACUUACAGAUAUGAGAGGCUUUUUCUUUUUGGGUUAAUACAGCAUUGGAACAUCCAGUAAUUACCACGAUCAGGAAAACAGAGAAGGAGAAGAAUCUAGCAACACAACAAAAUAUCUGAAAUCAAGUGGCAGAGUCCUGGAAAGUCAGGAAUUACAGUUGUUCCAUACAUCAUUUAUUUUGAGAAAAUGGGAAAGACGCUGCAAGACCCUCUCUCCAUCAAAACAGGGCAGACCACCUCAUAAAACAUUUCAUACUUUAAAAAAAAAAAAA